CAGGUAUAAUUUAAUGGUAAAAUACUUCCUUGCCAAGGAAGAUUUGCGGGUUCGAUUCCCACUACCUG
rnacentral:tRNA from 1 species